rnacentral:pre_miRNA from 2 species
AUGUACGGCAAUCAGUUUUUAAGGUGGGAUAAAUUUCUCUAAAAUAAAUGAUCCUAGAUAGCUUUCCUUCAAGUCAAGUGUCUUGC